AGGACGAACGCUGGCGGCGUGCUUAACACAUGCAAGUCGAGCGGUAAGGCCCUUUCGGGGGUACACGAGCGGCGAACGGGUGAGUAACACGUGAGUAAUCUGCCCUCCACUUGGGGAUAAGCUUCGGAAACGGGGUCUAAUACCUGAUACGACAACUACCUGCAUGGGUUGGUUGUGGAAAGUUUUUUCGGCGGGGGAUGUGCUCGCGGCCUAUCAGCUUGUUGGUGGGGUAACGGCCUACCAAGGCUUCGACGGGGUAGCCGGAACCUGAGAGGGUGACCGGCCACACUGGGACUGAGACACGGCCCAGACCUCCUACGGGAGGCAGCAGG
rnacentral:rRNA from 1 species